UUAUAAAUAAAAUCAGAGAAGAUGAAAAGUUUAAAAGCAAAGUUUUGAAAGAAACUUUUGAGAAAACGUUUAAGACCUUAAGAUAAACACAGAUCUGGGACAGAUCUAGAGAAAUCAGAAGAACCUCGAAAGGUUAGGAUUUCAGAAGAAACCUAGAAGUGAGAAAGGCCUGGAAAACUCGUGGAUUUAAGCCGAAGAAGUUAGACUCAUGCUUGAACGACCAUGAUACGUCGGAGUAAAGCUGGAGACGAACAUGGAAACCUGAAUCGAAGGAAACCUGGGUACAAAUCUUCAAGGUCAGGCCUUGAACCUUCAGAAAAGCAGUGUAUAAGAGCACCAAGGGGUGGGUGUAAGACCCCCAUAUUUUUGGUGCCACAGACUCCAAUGGAUCUCCGUCUAAGACGAAAAAAGGUGGAUAGGGUUUGAGAAUCCUCGAGAGAGAUUGAGAGAGUGGGGGGUUUGAG
rnacentral:lncRNA from 1 species